CCCGCCGAGGGGCGCUGCGACCGUCAUCCGCGGAACUUUCCGCAAAGCCCGUACCCGCUACGGACUUCGAGAAUGACGGCCAGGCUCGGCGAGGCGUAGUCCCAACGGCGCCCGGUUUGA
rnacentral:ncRNA from 1 species